rnacentral:misc_RNA from 1 species
ACAAACUUGGUCAUUUAGAGGAAGUAAAAGUCGUAACAAGGUCUCCGUAGGUGAACCUGCGGAGGGAUCAUUACCGAGUGAGGGCCUCCAGGCCCGACCUCCCAACCCCAUGUUACCCGACACUGUUGCCUCGGGGGCGACCCGGCCCUUCUGGCGUCGGGGCCCCCGGUGGACUGUCAAACGCUGCAUCUGUGCGUCCGAGUCAGAUGAUGAAUCAAUCAAAACUUUCAACAACGGAUCUCUUGGUUCUGGCAUCGAUGAAGAACGCAGC